GGCAGGGAGGUCACCCCAGGUCCCGGAUCGGCGGGCCCUGCGGCCCAGAAUGCGGGCGAGCUUCCAAAGCCGGCUGCGGUCUCCGUCCUCCAGCCCGUGAACGCCUCGGCCGCCGUGGUCGCCCGGCUGCGCCGUGCCCGCCACCACGCAAGGGCGCCGCGUCCUCGGCAGCCGGGCGAGGCCUUGCUGAGGGCUUGGCCAGG